CGAUACUCAAAUAGCUCUAUGGAGAUAGCCCACUCGCGGGGUAAUCUUGCUUCUUGAGCAGAAAACAAAACAAAUCUAGAAAAAUGACUCUCUAGAAUAUCAAGAUAAGGGAAACACUGAGGCAAUAUACUCUGCAGUGCAAAUAGAAAGCACAGUACCACACGGCCGCCACAGAGAGGGAGCUAUAAACACAGCCACAGAGAGGGAGCUAUAAACACAGCCACAGAGAGGGAGCUAUAAACACGGCCACAGAGAGGGAGCUAUAAACACGGAUACCAAUGGUGAAGCUCCCUGCACAGGGGGAUACUCGCCUUUAUCCGGAUCAACUAGAAGGAAUCUUUGUGUUUACAUCCCAACAUGACACGCACAAACAAACCCAUGAUUGACUAUCAAGACAAUCAAGAAGCAUCCGACCCAAGCAACGAGAUACCGCCGAUGGAUCUAAAUUACUAACGUAGCUAAUCGAAUUAGGUGUGGGAAUCGAUCCAUAAUGACGCCUCACGCUUAGCGACAGUUUUUAUCAUCAAAUAAAGACCGGUAACUUAAAAAA